rnacentral:snRNA from 1 species
CACGAACCGUAGUUUCACGU